rnacentral:rRNA from 1 species
UUACGCGAAGAAACUUACCUACCCUUGACAUGUCAGGAAUCCCGUAGAGAUAUGGGAGUGCCGCAAGGAACCUGAACACAGGUGCUGCAUGGCUGUCGUCAGCUCGUGUCGUGAGAUGUUGGGUUAAGUCCCGCAACGAGCGCAACCCUUGUCAUUAGUUGCCAUCAUUUAGUUGGGCACUCUAAUGAGACUGCCGGUGACAAACCGGAGGAAGGUGGGGAUGACGUCAAGUCCUCAUGGCCCUUAUGGGUAGGGCUUCACACGUCAUACAAUGGUCGGUACAGAGGGUUGCCAAGCCGCGGGGUGGAGCCAAUCCCAGAAAGCCGAUCGUAGUCCGGAUCGUAGUCUGCAACUCGACUACGUGAAGUCGGAAUCGCUAGUAAUCGCGGAUCAGAAUGCCGCGGUGAAUACGUUCCCGGGUCUUGUACACACCG